UUCCCAUAUUAUUAACCCAUUGACUCCUAUUCGUACAAUUUUACUUUGCUUAAAUAUAAUACAUUCAUAUAGAUUAUAUGACAUUUAUAGUAUCUAUACCCGGGUCAAUAUAAUACAGUAAUACAUCUUAAUAGGUAUUAUUUUUCUGUCAAAAAACAGUUCAAUUGCAACGUGGUGUUCAGUCCCCUCGGUGCAACACAUCCCAGCUUGUGAAUCCAGAAGGCCUCCUUUUGUAGGCAAGUUCAUGUUCUGCUACCAGGAGCAAUAAACAGACAUCUAUUCUGGGUGAAGGUACAACAUAUGGCAGGAGGAGUUGGCUCUGACAGUUUGUGUAUUUUUAACUAGUUACUUUUUUGCAAUCCCUUGAAAUGCUCAUUUUAUCUUAUGAGUGUCUAGUUCUGAAUAUUUGUGUAGAGUUAUAUAUAUAAAAAUAUACAUCAGACAGGCAAACCUUACUUUGCCUGCCACUUAUAAAAUCAUAUUAACCUUGUUUAACUGAACACCUUUAAAAUCUGUCACCAGAUCAUGCUUUUAAAGAAGUUUUUUUUAUUUAAUAUUAUUUAUUUUAUUGCCAAUAGAUUAACCACAAUAGUGCAAGCUAGAACGCAAUAUUUAUUCUGCGGAAAGAUUUACUGUACCUGAGUAAAUAACCCUAGAAACUCCCUCAGUUUGUUUAAGAUAGCAGCUGCCAUUUUAGCUUGGUCUCCAUUACUUCCAUGCUGCUGGUAGCAUAGAUUACACAUUCUGAUGGGAGGGGGAGUGAAUUCUUAUGGGAGGGAGAGCAGGAGAAGGGAGAGAGGAGAGAGCUGAGCAUACUCCGAGCCCAGGAAUGAGAGGAAGUCAGAUACCAAAGUACAUGUAUACACAAAACAAGACAAGAAAUCCAGUGUUUCUUUUGAUAGAGGACUGUGAGUGCUUAAGGCUGUAUUUACAUAGACCUUCCUGAUAAAGCUUACUUCGUUUUUACCUUUCCUUCUCCUUUAACAAAAUGCACCUAAAGUGUUGCAGAGAUGUUUUUUUCAUAAUUACUACCUUACAGAAUUCAUUUGAACCCCUUUUCAAUUAAGGAUAAUAUGAUCCACCUAUUUUAGAGGUGUUUGGCUAAAAUCUAAGGCUAAUGUCACACCAUGUGUAUGGAGUAUAUUUUCGGCAAGCCGAAAAAUGCAUACAUGUGCCUGUACCCGAGCCUAUGCCAUUCAUUCGGGUGCAGGCACAGGUAGGAGCGUAUGGCACAUAUUUUCAGCAAGCGUUUUUUGCAUUGCCAAGAAUAUACGCCAUACGCAUGAUGUGGCAUGAGCCUAAUCCAUAUAAAAUCCAGGUGCUGCUGGCUUAAUUGAGAAUUUAAUUAAUAUGGUACCAGCCCUGCCAUAGAAACCUGUGUAGUUUGAUAUAUGGUUUACAGGUAAUGUAAAAGUUAUAGGGAUUGUCUCUAAAUAAUUGAAGGACAUAACUGUAAUCUAGCUAUAAACUACAGUGCCUUAUAAUUCAAAAUAAGAUGCAUUUUGCCAAAUUUGAGCCACACUCGGCAAGACAAUACAUUUUUCCAAACUCCACGAGAACCUGAGUGUCCAGCUGACUCCUGGGAGAGGGUUUCCCGUGAUAACAUUGCUGAAUUGGCGCUAUACACACUAGGAAUAAUAUAUAUCAUUUUUGCCAAAUCCUUUGUCAGGCUUUUAUACAAAUAACUUGCUGUGCUUUUCUAUGCUCAUCAAAUAUUUCUCCAUUUCUAAUAAAAAUGCUUGCAGUACUGGUUCUCAUUAAAAAUCACUAAUAUUGUGAUAAAAAUUACCACACAAUAAAGAUGAAAAUUAAAUAUG